UAAAGGAAGGGAUGCCCCCAUGGCACAUCUUCAAGUGGUAAAAGGAGAGGGUGGAGAAAUCCAGCUUUGCUUGAGGCUGCUGCGUCAAGGGUUCGAAUUCUGAAAUAUGGAUUUGGCUUUUGGGUAAGUGCAAGUGUACAAGCAGCCUUCCGCCCUGUACCCUUGGAGGCAUAACCUGCGAUUUACCUCCCUCACGAUACUCCAGGGCAGGGGUAGUGGGGGACCCUUAAGGUUAGGGUUUAACCUUUUUUUUUUUUUAACAAUAAAGGAAGGGAUCUAAGAAGAAUGAAAAAAAAAAUGCUGGAAAAAUAACAAAGAAGGUAACCAUUCCAUCAUGACGGCAUAUCCAAUCCCAAUUUAUAAAUGAAAGCAUGCCAAAUCUUUCAUUGCCAACUUAUUUUUACUUCAACAAAGUCCACAAGCAUGAAUCCUCAAACAUGGCAUUUGAUAAGUGUAUUUUAUACACUUAUGUAGACCUAAAGAUAUAGACUUUUAAUAGUUCUUUAAAACAAUUAUAGCCUAAUUUAUUGUAUAUUUUAUUUAUUAGGUAAAACUCGAUGGUUGGAAGUUAAAUUGAAAGAAAGAAGCGAAAAAGGCGAAAAUUGACGAAGUACAAAGUUGAGGACCAAAUUGCAAAUAUUCAAUGGUUGAAUUGGACCAUAAGAGGUAUUUUCAAGAUUGAUGGGAGCCAAUUGGAUACAAUUAAAAGUAAAAAAGGAGUGGGAUAUCAUUAGAAUAUUACCAUAAAUCAACUUCCAAUCACAUGAUAUAUCUUCCAGAUUUUUCGUCAAGGAUUGUGACCAAUUUUUGGCAUAAUAAACGUCCGAAUUGGAAAAUAUUUAUCUCUAGGAAAAUUGUAACCUUUUUAGUUAGCUUUUCAACACAUUUUGAAUCAACUCAAUUGGAUAUUGAAAGACAAAGUUAUAAUCAAAAUACUGACUGUUGUGCAGAG
rnacentral:lncRNA from 1 species